ACGUAGGGAGCGAGCGUUGUCCGGAAUUACUGGGCGUAAAGGGUGCGUAGGCGGCUGUGUAAGUCAGAUGUGAAAUACCGGGGCUUAACCUCGGGGCUGCAUCUGAUACUGCAUAGCUUGAGUGCAGGAGAGGAAAGCGGAAUUCCUAGUGUAGCGGUGAAAUGCGUAGAUAUUAGGAGGAACACCAGUGGCGAAGGCGGCUUUCUGGACUGUAACUGACGCUGAGGCACGAAAGCGUGGGGAGCAAACAG
rnacentral:rRNA from 1 species